AAUUAAGGCAGAAUAUUGUGUUUGAAAAUUUACUUCGUGCAUAAAAAAUCCUAGUAAAAUAUGUCAAGCAAUUUAAAUUUCAAUAUUGCUAUGUCAAAGCCAAACAGAACGCAAAUUAAUAAGCAGGAAUAUAAUAAUUAUAGUAAAGAAAUCUGCCUGAAUCGGCUGAAAACUGAAAACUCACAGACGCAGUGAUUUAAGGAUUCAUCUGGCAUUAAGCCUGAAUUAAAAAAAAAUCCAUUUAAUGCAAUAUUGAAGUAAUGUCAAAAAUUUUAAAAAAGUCUAUCCUGUAGAGGAGAAGUAGUUGUUUUACUGAAGAUCGCGGUAAAAUAUUUACCUCAGUUUCUUCCAGGUGAAAAUACCCUCUAGACGUGAAUAGUGAAGGGGAGGAUAUGUCAAUGUAUACUGACGGAUCCAAAAUGAACUGCAGUUUAGAGACGGGGGUAUAUUCCCAGGAUCUUGAUAUCCGUCUUCCAAAAUCAGUUAGCAUCUUCCAAGCAGAAGUACUAGACAUGGAAAAGGCCUGUGGUGUUCUACUGAAAGAAACAGAAAGCUACCAUUUACGCAGACAAUCAGGCGGCAUUGCUAGCCUUGUCGUUGCCAAAGAUUAAUUUCACAUUUCAAGAAUAUACAGCGAUAUUUAAAAAAAAAACUUUUCUUGAGUUAUACGAGAUCUCUGACGGCGCUUAAAAAAUAGGGUCCUCCAUUGCUGCAGUGAUUCCGGCCUUCUUAGUGAAUAAAGCCUAAAAAUUAAA